rnacentral:lncRNA from 1 species
GUGAGUGACCAGCUCAUCUAAGCAAGCCCUAACUUCUUCCUGAGUGCCCCUAGGAGGCAGGGAGGAGGGAAGUUGGCAACAGUAAAGAAGUGUCCAGAGACCUGGCACAAGGCCCAUAAUAUUAUACCUGGAGUUCCAUUCUCUCUUAUGAUGCUGAACGGCAGCAAGAGGCUGCAGCUCCUACUCAACCCUGCAAGCACAAGAAGAAACCCCCACACUCCCUAGGUUAAAGACUACAGAGCUCUGAAAUGGGGUGCCUUGUGGGGGACAGAAACAGAGGUGACAGCAUUGUUAACAGGUUCAAGUCUGGAGUCUAAUCCUCAGCCCAGAAUAUGUAGUGCACCUCACAUCAGAGCAUGACCAGCCACCGACGCCCCCAGAUGUGUCCAGGAAGACUGGAGCCAAGAGAUCACCAGGCUCCUGCCCUUCUGUUAUUGAAACCAGCUCCUGGUCAGGCCUCU